ensembl:miRNA
CAGGAUCACAGACGUUUAAAUUACACUCCUUCUGCUGCACCUUACAGCAGUAGAAGGGGUGAAAUUUAAACGUCUGUGAUCCUG